UUCUACUCCCUCGUCUCCUCUUUUUCUCUCUUUCCCAGGAAAAGAAAAUAAUUGUUCCUCCCAGGAAUGAGCAAACUAUAGUCCGCAUGAUUCGGCAAGACACCUCCAAACGGAGAAUAUAUAAAGUGCGAGAGAGAAGUAGCCCGAUCGGGCUCAUUCGUCCCUCUUUUACCUGGACAAGUGAUUGGAGGAAUUGAAUUAGCCAAAAGGAAGCUCCUGGGGGCCUGGGGCAUUCUUAUGCUGAACUGAAGCUGUUCCAUCGGCCAUCGCAUAGCGUCAGACAGAGAGGGCCCACGUUGGUGGCGACGAGCAACCAGAAACUCAUAAAUAGGAGCCUGGAGAAGAAGGAUUGGUCGAAGUUGAAUGUAUUGUCCACACACACCUGCCACCGACUGGUUUUAAAAAUUUAAAAUUGUGUACUACCA
rnacentral:lncRNA from 1 species